UGCACCCCUAGAAGAAAACUCUAGGGGUUACUUGGAUCAGUCAGUAAGAAUGGACAGUUAGUACAGUUGGAAUGAGUAUAGUGGAGCAGGAAACACAGUUGGAGGGUGAGAGUAGGGUCAUCUUCCUGUCUUCUCCCUGGUACUGUGGUCAUUGCCCUGUUUCUCAGAAGAGUUUGAAGACAGAAGUGAUUUCAAAUUCUCACUAAUUAAAAUGGAGGCUAUCAGCAUGUGCCUGAAGUCCUGCUGCUGCUGCAGAGGAAGUGCUUCCAAGACCAAGAUAACCAGGCAAUCAUAGUAGAUGCAUCAAUGCACCCUUGCCCAAGGGCCUAGACAAGAGGUAAGUAACCAUGAUUUAUC
rnacentral:lncRNA from 1 species